UUCUUAAAAAAAUUUACUAACAAAUCCACCUUCAAUUAAAUUUUAAUUUAAAUAUUCGUAUUUUUUUAAAAAAUUGUAGCUCAUCUGAACCUUUACAUAAACUGCACCUUGACCUGAAGUAAAAAAAUUAUUUUUUCUGAAAACAUCCUUUUAGAGUAAUCUGACAACGGAGGUAUACAAGCUAAACAAAUAAAGGUAAGAUACAACGAGGGUUAUCGAUUACGGGACAAGCUCCUCUGUUUGGUUAAAAUGCCGCCAAAAUCUUUGGGUUUGAAGAAUGACUUUUAN
rnacentral:rRNA from 1 species